GGUGUGAGCUCAGUAGUAGAGCGGCUGACUGCAGAUCAGCAGGUACUCGGCUCAAACCCGGGCGCGCCC